UACGGAGGGUGCAAGCGUUAUCCGGAUUCACUGGGUUUAAAGGGUGCGUAGGUGGGCAGGUAAGUCAGUGGUGAAAUCCCCGAGCUUAACUUGGGAACUGCUAUUGAUACUAUUUGUCUUGAAUACUGUGGAGGUUAGCGGAAUAUGUCAUGUAGCGGUGAAAUGCUUAGAUAUGACAUAGAACACCAAUUGCGAAGGCAGCUGGCUACACAAAUAUUGACACUGAUGCACGAAAGCGUGGGGAUCAAACAGG
rnacentral:rRNA from 1 species